UUUAGUUGGAGGCCGGCCGAUAUCAGUAUUAGCUAGUUGGUGGGGUAAAGGCCUACCAAGGCGACGAUCUGUAGCUGGUCUGAGAGGAUGAUCAGCCACACGUGGGACUGAGACACGGCCCAGACUCCGUACGGGAGGCAGCAGUGGGGAAUUUUGGACAAUGGGCGAAAGCCUGAUCCAGCCAUGCCGCGUGAGUGAAGAAGGCCUUCGGGUUGUAAAGCUCUUUCAGGUGGAAAGAAAGCGGAUGAGUUAAUACCUUGUCCGGAUGACGGUACCACCAGAAGAAGCACCGGCUAACUACGUG
rnacentral:rRNA from 1 species